rnacentral:lncRNA from 1 species
GACACGGCCGAGAAAGGGCCCAGCCCCGCGCGGACCACAGACUGGCAGGCCGGCCAGACAGACGGACAGGCUGACCCCGGCCCGGGGGAGCAGGCGCAGCGGCUGCGCAGGUAAUGUGAAAUGGUGAGACAUGAUUCCUCAGAGCUCUGUUAUCCCACAAGUCUGUGUCUACCAGCCGCACAAGGAAAAUCUUUCACGAGGUUCCUCUCAGUUCCUGUGGCAGACAGACUCUUGGGGAAGUUGCUCACCAUCCCACCUGCUGAUGUCAUGGCUUUCUGUAAUUCCUUCUGUUUGAGUGGUGGGGGUGGGUGGCUGCAGUGGUGCUGUGACUUGCUUCUCACUGGUAGAAUGCAGCAAAGGUGAUGAGAUAGGUGGGAUAGAUGGUGCCAUGUCAGCGAUGACAUGGGUAUAUUAUGUGACAGUGUGGGGCCGGGCACGGUGGCUCAAGCAUGUAAUCCCAGCACUUUGGGGGGCCAAGGUGGGCGGAUCAGGAGGUCAGGAGAUUGAGAACAACCUAGCUAACACGGUGAAACCCUGUCUCUACUAAAAAAUACAAAAAAUUAGCCAGGCGUGAUGGCAGGCGCCUGUAGUCCCAGCUACUUGGGAGGCUGAGGCAGGAGAAUGGCGAGAACCCGGGAGGUGGAGCUUGCAGUGAGCCGAGAUGGCGCCACUGCACUCCAGCCUGGGGGACAGAGUGAGACUCCGUCUCGAAAAAAAAAAAAAAAGAAAGCGUGGCACUUGUCUUGCUGAGUCUCCCUAUGCCUCUCCAUUGGUUUUGAAGAAGCAAGCUGGCAUGUGGCAGCCUGCGGAUGUUGGGAGGCCACACGGCAAGGAACUGCAGCAUCUCUAGGAGCUGAGGGUGGACCCUGACUGGCAGCCAACAACAAACUGAAGCUCUCAAGCCUACCACCAUAAGGAAUUGAAUUCUGCCAAUAACCUGAGUGAGCAUGGAAGCAGAUCCUUUCCCAGCCAAGCCUCAGACAAGGUUCUGGCCCUGGGAAACACCUUGACUGAAGUCUUGUGAGACCAUAGGAAGAAGACUUAGCUGAGCCAGUCUCAGAUCCUGACCCAUAGAACCUGUUAGAUACUUAGCAUGUGUUGUUUUCAGCCUCUGUGUUUGUGGUAAUUUAUUAUACAAUACAUACUGUUCCCCACCCUAAUACUUGAAACUCCUGACCCCAAUCCCUGUGCUCUAUUUACAACUCCAUGCCACCACUGGGGGAAUAAUCCCAUAAUAGUAUCUGUGUGUGGGUAGCUUUACCUGUCUGUAUCUACACAUAGAUCUUGUGACAGUAAAUUUUAUCUAUCAACUUGACUGGGCUAAAGGAUGCCCUUAUAGUUAAUUAAACAUUAUUUCUGGAUAUGUCUGACUAGCAGAGAUUAGCAUUUGGAUUGGUGGACUGAGUGAAGCAGAUGGCCCUCAAUGUCAUCCAAUCCUUGAGGGCCUGAAUAGAGCAAAAAAGGCAGAUGAAGGUUGAUUUUGCUCUUUGCCUGACUGCUUGAGUUGGGACAUUGAUCUCUUGCGCUUGGUGCUUUGGUUCUUAGGCCUUCAGACCUGAGCUGAAAUCUACACCACCGGCUCUCUGACUAUCAGGCUUUGGACUAUACUUUGGGCUUUCCUGGGUCUCUUACCUGGCAGACAGCAGAUUUUGGAACUUUUCAGCCUCCAUAAUCAUCAACUCUGUGAGGGAUUGUUAUCUCCAUUUUAUGGAUGAGGAAGCUGACUCUGAGAGAUGACUUUCCAAAUUCAUCCAACUGGAAGAAAAAGGAAGUCUCUGGGGACUUGAAUCCAGAACUGUCCAGCUCCAAGUCCAGGGCUCACUCUAUUAAGCCACUCCAUGAGGAAUGAGUCCCUAAGGAGGCCACAGAAGGCCCUAAGCCCUCUUUUGUUCUCUGGAAGAGAGUGCCAUUUCUUGGCCCUUCCCAAGGCCUUGACAACUGAAGGUGAGUGUGGGCCCGCCGGCCAGGCACACUGGCUACACAAGGCUGACUUUCCACUGGCACUGUGGUUUGGCAUAGGUGAGAAGGCGGGCAGUAACUCAUGUGACCUGUACAAGUCAUUCCCCACCUCGGCCCUCAGUUUCUGCUUCCAACGACCUAAGAGCCCCUGAACUCAGGAAAUCUGUGAAUAAAUAUUUGUUGAAUGCAUGAGUAAAAUGCACGAAUGAAUGGGAGUCUAACCAGAAGUGGAUUUUCCAGUCACUAUUUUGUUGUGUUUUUCUCUUUUUUUCCUUAGUUCCCAGAAGAACCACAAAGCAUAAAUUUCCCCAAAAGGGGAAUUUUGUUGAUGGCUUUAGUCUAUUCCCUCCUAAAAGACCAGCUACAACCAAAUGAAGUGAACAUAACCUCAAGGGUGUAUUGUCUUCAUAAUAAAAGAUGAAGCUUAGAACUGGAUCACUUGGCCCUUUCUCUUCUGACAUCCUCCCAGUUGA